UACCCUGUAAUACUAUCUAAAUGGUUGUCGUCAUCUGCUGCCUUAUUCUUUGCGUCUUUCUUGAUAAUGUUGCAGGCCUUCUCCAUCAUGAAGGUGCUGCUUCCAUGUGGUCAGUUGAGAUGCUUGCCUUGGGCAAAGUUACAAGGAGCAACAAAAAGCUGCAAUUGAGCUCUCUGCACUAGCAGUGCGGCCCCCUGGAUCCCCUUCAGCUCAGAAAAGGAUGAUGCUAGCUUACUUGCCCCCCCCUUGGAAAAUUUUCUGCGGACACCCAUGCCUACCUAGGUAAUUGUACAUCAUUCAAGCAUUUUGUAAAAAUAUUUGGAGCAAAUCUUCAAGCUCUGACAGUGCAUCAAACAGGUUGAUGGUGAGUUUUAUCUUUUUCUAUUUGUCCCCCUUUCUCCAUUUGUAUAGAACUAUCUCCAUUGUGCUGCCUUACAAACCUGUUAACCUAAAAGAACAUGACCACUUUUUUAAUUUUUAAAUAUCUUUAUUACAUAUCUUGAUUUUCAUAAACAAAUAAUUGAAUCUAUCGCUGAUUGAAUUGAUCUUCAAGAACUAAGACUGUCGCUAUACCUGAAAGGGCACCUAUCACCCAAAAUUUGCUUCCCUCACCAGAGUUGGGAGAAACUGGUUUUUUAAAAAAAAAAAAAAAAAAAAGUACCCAGCGGUGGUAGGACGCCCGCACCAGAAGGCAGCUCCCUUCCAGAGCACCCCCACCAGGAGUGCAGGCUCUACUACUCUGUGGGAAACAAUUUUAGGAUAUAGGUGUCCUUGAAAGACACAUUAUUGUUGUUGUAAGGUCAUUGUUUUAAAGUUUCAAAGCAAUGCAUGAAUUACAUUUUGGCCUAAAAGCACAUUUCAGAUAAAAUGAUGGGCCCCUAUCGUAAUGAGAGAAAUAUUCAAAGAUUUAUUUAGAAAAUUUGAUUCCCAUUAGAUAAAUUCAGUCUUUACAGAGAUUCGCUCAACUACAAAAUAAUCAUGGGGGGGGGGAAGAAAUAAAAAGCACCCGGGCUUGGGGUGGGGGGGAAGAAAAUCCACAUGCACUACAUCUUUAACAUCACUAUUGUAACAGUGUUCAGCUGUACAGGGAGCAGCGGAGUAAUCUAUAUACAGCAGACCCUGUGAUCGCAGGGGGCCCAGUCGGCAGAGGGGCCCAAACCACAGGGUUUGUUGUACCUUAAUCUUCCCUCCUGGCCCCUUUCCUACCUUAAAUAUAGCAGCACGGUCAGGGUCCAGAGGGGAAUUGUGGGAGAAGGGACUGGUUGUGCCCUCUCAAAGAUUUUUCUGCAGGGUGGCCCAGCACAACCAAAUUACGCCACUGACAGGGAUUUAUGCAACUGUUUGGACAGGGAAGUUGAAAUGCUGCAUCCUGAGGCUUUUGUAUGAGGAUAUCUUUAGCUUCCACCUACCAGCUGUGUGUUGCUUUGCAUAAGGACUUUAAAGGAACUAUUCAGUGUAAAAAUGAAUGGGUAAACAGGCUGUUUUGCGGUGCAAAAUAAAAAAUGUUUAAAAAUCUUGUUCAGGCAAAUAUAUAAUCUAUAAAGGCUGAAGUUAAUGGAAUAGCUCUCUACUGUGUUAAUUGUCAGUAACCAGUGACUUGAGGGGGGGCACAGAAGUUAUGUUCCAUGUUACCCCCCCCCCCCUUCAAGUUGCUGACUAACUAACUAAGAGGUUAGACAAGUGCGGAGGAGGAAGUAGUGCUGUGGCUAUUAUGUCAGACAUCCAUUAGCCAAAAAUGUAAUCUAUAAGGUCUGAAGUUAACUAUAUUAGAAACAGUUUUUAUUUUGCACACCCUAUACAUUUAGCUGGUUUUAUUUUUUACACUUAAUUGCUCCUUUAGGCUGAUGUCCCACAGAGCAUGUUAGUCACCCGCAAUAAACCUCUGCUAUCAUGGGUAACCAACCACUCCAAAAUACCUUUCCACCAGCACAAAUAGGAAUCACUGGUGGAAAGACCUUCACAUCGCUUUGGUUUUCUGAAGUCGGGCAAAGUCCUGCAGGCAACUUGAAAAGGAAAACUGAAUCGAUGCGAAGGCCUUUCCACCGGCAACUCCAGUUGGCAUUUCGGAGUGGUUAGUUGCCCACGACAGCAGAGGUUUAUCCCAGGGGGACAUAAGCCUUAUAGGAGAAGCAGAGGUCAUUGUAGCACCUUGAAGACUGAAACACAAGAGUGCAAAUUUAGCAAGAUAAGUGCUAAAUUGUACCGGUGCAAGUGCCCAUGGCAACCCAUGACCAAUGUUUGCUUUAGUUUUCUAAUUGAUAACAGGCUGAUCAAAAGAAAUUGUCUCUUAGUAACCUAGUACAGGUACAAUGAAGAAAACACAAAAUUGGAUAAGAACCUCUGUAAUCAUAGUAGAUACAUGUGACUAUCACAUCUGUAGACAUUUUAAAGCAAUAAAGCGCUAGUGUGCCAUAACCAGAACAAUUCAAACAUUUCAGACAACACACUUUUAUGUUAUAUACAUCUUACGAUGUCACUGAAAUAUAAUAUAAACAGCCCUGUGUGUCAUAAACCCUAGACCAAAAUAUCUGCUUGAUGCUUUCAACACCUUUCAACACCUUUCAACACCUGCUUAAAACACAUGUCCUGAAUAUAAGCCCUCCGCCAUUCCCUGAGUGUGGCUUUUCAGAAUUCCCUAGCACAAACUGAUAUCUUGUUACACAUUUACAGACUAAUUGAUCAGGAGAAAUUAUAUUUGGAAAAAAUACUAUUUCUUAAAUUAUAUCCGAGGAUAUUACACUGUUCCUUCUCUAGGGGAUGUAAACUCACAGCAAGAUGUUGUGUAAUGAAAUAAGUUGUUAUUUUAAACAACAUUCCACUAAAAAAGUGUGUAAUUGCUGCUG